rnacentral:lncRNA from 1 species
GGCACAUUGUGCCAAUGUGUCUUUGUGAAAUGUUCAGACUCUUUGUGUCCCUUCUCUUCAAUCCUUUAAAGUGUAUGAGCAUUCUAUUUUUAGGGCCAUUAAGUCAUGCCAUUUCAUAUGAUUAUGCCUGUGAUUACAGUCAAGUUUGAUCCUCCAAACGAAGAGAUGACAGUCUCCAAGAUCCAUGACCAAUUCAUGAUCAAAUGGAAGAUCCCUGAAAAGCAAGAGGAUGCAAUAGCAGAAUAUCGUUACAGGACGUGGAAUGGAACGUGGGAACAGAGACCUGCAGCCUCCAGCUCGAGGCACCUGUUGCCUAUGAAAUCCAGCUCCGUCGCCACAAAAAAGCCUCCCCGACUGGUCAGUGGAGUGAAUGGAGC